rnacentral:rRNA from 1 species
UACGUAGGGUGCGAGCGUUAAUCGGAAUUACUGGGCGUAAAGCGUGCGCAGGCGGUUUUGUAAGCCAGAUGUGAAAGCCCCGGGCUUAACCUGGGAAUGGCAUUUGGGACUGCAAGGCUGGAGUGUGGCAGAGGAGACUGGAAUUCCCGGUGUAGUGGUGAAAUGCGUAGAUAUCGGGAGGAACACCGGUGGCGAAGGCGGCCAACUGGACGAAUACUGACGCUGAGACACGAAAGCGUGGGGAGCAAACAGG